rnacentral:misc_RNA from 1 species
GAUGAAGAACGCAGCGAAAUGCGAUAAGUAGUGUGAAUUGCAGAAUUCAGUGAAUCAUCGAAUCUUUGAACGCACAUUGCGGCCAUAGGUAUUCCUUUGGCCAUGCCUGUUCGAGCGUCAUUUACACCCUCAAGUCUAGCUUGGUGUUGGGCGUCUGUCCCGCCGUUCUCGCGCGCGGACUCGCCUCAAAGUCAUUGGCGGCGGUCGUGCCGGCCCCCUCGCGCAGCACAUUUGCGCUUCUCGGAGGCCCGGCGGAUCCGCGCUCCAGCAAGACCUUUCACGACUUGACCUCGGAUCAGGUAGGGAUACCCGCUGAACUUAAGCAUAUCAAUAAGCGGAGA